rnacentral:lncRNA from 1 species
GGGGGCAGCGGCGACAGCCCCAGAGAGUGCCCCCGGAGCUCUGCUCAGCCACGGGACUUCGUGUCGGUCAGCGACACGGCUUACACGGACGGGGGUUAGGGAAUGCACCCCUUUGCGUGGAGAACGUAUUUCACAGCCUGCUGAGUUUGGCUGUGAAGGAAUCCUGACGGGCGGGCUGUCAGCGAUGCGCCCUGGCACUGCCCGCCGUGCGGCUCUCCCACAGCGCGCUCACAGCUCUGCCCAGCUGCCUCAGCUCGCGUCCGAUGUCCAUUGCUCAGCACUUGGAAAGCCGAUUACUCUCUUGUCUCUCUCUCUUACCACAGAUCCAACAGUCACGUUACAGAGGGCCAAAGAUUCGCAUUUAUUAGAAAAGAAGAUGAAUGUAACCAAAACUUAUACUGAGAAGAGGCGAGGACAUCUGCUGUGGCAGGUACACCACUGACAAAUUGGAAGACCAUGAAAAAGUGCUUGAGAAGAAGAAUCCCUUUUGCUCAACGAGACUUGGGGAAUUAAGUCUUACUGGGACUCGGUGACAUAAAAAGACAUUAAAAGAUGAGCCAGGAUAAAGAAGAAUGGAAAUCCUUGUUUAUUCCAUAAGUAAGAUUUAAUGUCAUGGGAAAUACUUGGAGAUGGAAGAUUCUGUUGCCACCUGUUCCUGUUUUAUAAGGAAAUCAGGAACACAUGAUAACAAAAGAAAAAGUGCUUCAUCAUUUAUUAGAACUUUUGUAGAGACUUUCAUCCCAGUAGGGACCAGAGGGCUUUUUUCAGUGAAAUCCUAUUUGCUUCAAUCAUAGGCAAUUUAUCAGAGAUUACUUUGUAAUAUCUCUGAAUAGCUGUAACAUUCCAAAGAAUGGAAAUUAAAUCAUCUUUUCAGGACUCUACUUAUAAGCUCUUGUGUGCUUCUUUCUGUCAUGCUGUCAACUCAUCCUGGUUUCAGCUGAAUCUCAAAAUAAAUAGAUUCAGAAGAGAUUAUGCUUUUGUACGUGUGCUCUAUGUCCUUUCUUGAAAGAAUUUUAGGAAAUUGAGAUGGAAUGGCUUCUCUCUUGAGAACUGUCCACUGUGCAAAUAGGCCCUUGGGAAACAUCAAACGAGGGCAUGCUAGCCCGGAUUGGUCCCACCUUACACCUGAACACACAAAGUAAGUCCCUCCACAUUGCACGUGCUUUGCAGUGAUAUUAAAGUGACCCAUUCUUAAUAAUAACGUUUUAGAAAUUAACUUUGAA